AGUCGAGCGGUAGAGAGAAGCUUGCUUCUCUUGAGAGCGGCGGACGGGUGAGUAAUGCCUAGGAAUCUGCCUGGUAGUGGGGGAUAACGCUCGGAAACGGACGCUAAUACCGCAUACGUCCUACGGGAGAAAGCAGGGGACCUUCGGGCCUUGCGCUAUCAGAUGAGCCUAGGUCGGAUUAGCUAGUUGGUGGGGUAAUGGCUCACCAAGGCGACGAUCCGUAACUGGUCUGAGAGGAUGAUCAGUCACACUGGAACUGAGACACGGUCCAGACUCCUACGGGAGGCAGCAGUGGGGAAUAUUGGACAAUGGGCGAAAGCCUGAUCCAGCCAUGCCGCGUGUGUGAAGAAGGUCUUCGGAUUGUAAAGCACUUUAAGUUGGGAGGAAGGGCAGUAACCUAAUACGUUGCUGUCUUGACGUUACCGACAGAAUAAGCACCGGCUAACUCUGUGCCAGCAGCCGCGGUAAUACAGAGGGUGCAAGCGUUAAUCGGAAUUACUGGGCGUAAAGCGCGCGUAGGUGGUUUGUUAAGUUGGAUGUGAAAUCCCCGGGCUCAACCUGGGAACUGCAUUCAAAACUGACAAGCUAGAGUAUGGUAGAGGGUGGUGGAAUUUCCUGUGUAGCGGUGAAAUGCGUAGAUAUAGGAAGGAACACCAGUGGCGAAGGCGACCACCUGGACUGAUACUGACACUGAGGUGCGAAAGCGUGGGGAGCAAACAG
rnacentral:rRNA from 1 species